rnacentral:rRNA from 1 species
GAGUAACACGUAUCCAACCUGCCGAUAACUCGGGGAUAGCCUUUCGAAAGAAAGAUUAAUAUCCGAUAGUAUAUUAAGACCGCAUGGUUUUACUAUUAAAGAAUUUCGGUUAUCGAUGGGGAUGCGUUCCAUUAGUUUGUUGGCGGGGUAACGGCCCACCAAGACUACGAUGGAUAGGGGUUCUGAGAGGAAGGUCCCCCACAUUGGAACUGAGACACGGUCCAAACUCCUACGGGAGGCAGCAGUGAGGAAUAUUGGUCAAUGGACGAGAGUCUGAACCAGCCAAGUAGCGUGAAGGAUGACUGCCCUAUGGGUUGUAAACUUCUUUUAUAUGGGAAUAAAGUAUUCCACGUGUGGGAUUUUGUAUGUACCAUAUGAAUAAGGAUCGGCUAACUCCGUGCCAGCAGCCGCGGUAAUACGGAGGAUCCGAGCGUUAUCCGGAUUUAUUGGGUUUAAAGGGAGCGUAGGUGGAUUGUUAAGUCAGUUGUGAAAGUUUGCGGCUCAACCGUAAAAUUGCAGUUGAAACUGGGAGUCUUGAGUACAGUAGAGGUGGGCGGAAUUCGUGGUGUAGCGGUGAAAUGCUUAGAUAUCACGAAGAACUCCGAUUGCGAAGGCAGCUCACUAGACUGUCACUGACACUGAUGCUCGAAAGUGUGGGUAUCAAACAGGAUUAGAUACCCUGGUAGUCCACACAGUAAACGAUGAAUACUCGCUGUUUGCGAUAUACAGUAAGCGGCCAAG